rnacentral:rRNA from 1 species
GGGGGACGAUAACGGCGUCGAGCGGCGGACGGGUGAGUAAUGCCUAGGAAAUUGCCCUGAUGUGGGGGAUAACCAUUGGAAACGAUGGCUAAUACCGCAUGAUGCCUACGGGCCAAAGAGGGGGACCUUCGGGCCUCUCGCGUCAGGAUAUGCCUAGGUGGGAUUAGCUAGUUGGUGAGGUAAGGGCUCACCAAGGCGACGAUCCCUAGCUGGUCUGAGAGGAUGAUCAGCCACACUGGAACUGAGACACGGUCCAGACUCCUACGGGAGGCAGCAGUGGGGAAUAUUGCACAAUGGGCGCAAGCCUGAUGCAGCCAUGCCGCGUGUAUGAAGAAGGCCUUCGGGUUGUAAAGUACUUUCAGUCGUGAGGAAGGUGGCGUCGUUAAUAGCGCUAUCAUUUGACGUUAGCGACAGAAGAAGCACCGGCUAACUCCGUGCCAGCAGCCGCGGUAAUACGGAGGGUGCGAGCGUUAAUCGGAAUUACUGGGCGUAAAGCGCAUGCAGGUGGUUUGUUAAGUCAGAUGUGAAAGCCCGGGGCUCAACCUCGGAAUAGCAUUUGAAACUGGCAGACUAGAGUACUGUAGAGGGGGGUAGAAUUUCAGGUGUAGCGGUGAAAUGCGUAGAGAUCUGAAGGAAUACCGGUGGCGAAGGCGGCCCCC